rnacentral:rRNA from 14 species
AACUUUCAACAACGGAUCUCUUGGUUCUGGCAUCGAUGAAGAACGCAGCGAAAUGCGAUAAGUAGUGUGAAUUGCAGAAUUCAGUGAAUCAUCGAAUCUUUGAACGCACAUUGCGCCCUUUGGUAUUCCAAAGGGCAUGCCUGUUCGAGCGUCAUUUGUACCCUCAAGCU